UCCUUUACUACGGGGAGCUUUUGCUGAGAGGUUACGAAAGUAACGACCCAAGAACCUGAUCUGGGUAAUUCCAGCGGAGGAAAUAAAAUGAAUGCGAACA
rnacentral:ncRNA from 1 species